rnacentral:rRNA from 1 species
UUUCUUGAUUCAGUGGGUGGUGGUGCAUGGCCGUUCUUAGUUGGUGGAGUGAUUUGUCUGGUUAAUUCCGUUAACGAACGAGACCUUAACCUGCUAAAUAGUCACGCGAACCGGUCCGCAAGGGCUCAAAGUUCGCGGCUCGACUUCUUAGAGGGACUAUUCGCACCCGCCAGCGAAUGGAAGUUUGAGGCAAUAACAGGUCUGUGAUGCCCUUAGAUGUUCUCGGCCGCACGCGCGUUACACUGACGGAGUCAACGAGCGUUUUUCCUUGCCCGAUAGGGUUGGGUAACCUCCUGAAACUCCGUCGUGAUGGGGAUAGAUCAUUGCAAUUAUUGAUCUUGAACGAGGAAUUCCUAGUAGGCGCGAGUCAUCAACUCGCGCCGAUUACGUCCCUGCCCUUUGUACACACCGCCCGUCGCUCCUACCGAUUGAACGGUCCGGCGAGAACUCCGGAUG